UACAGAGGUCUCAAGCGUUGUUCGGAUUCAUUGGGCGUAAAGGGUGCGUAGGCGGCGCGGUAAGUCGGGUGUGAAAUCUCGGAGCUUAACUCCGAAACUGCAUUCGAUACUUCCGUGCUUGAGGACUGGAGAGGAGACUGGAAUUUACGGUGUAGCGGUGAAAUGCGUAGAUAUCGUAAGGAAGACCAGUGGCGAAAGCGCGGUCCUGGACGCCUGCUGACGCUGAGACGCGAAAGCCAGGGGAGCGAACGGG
rnacentral:rRNA from 1 species